UACGAAGGGGGCUAGCGUUGCUCGGAAUUACUGGGCGUAAAGGGCGCGUAGGCGGAUAUUUAAGUUAGAGGUGAAAGCCCAGGGCUCAACCCUGGAAUAGCCUUUAAUACUGGAUAUCUUGAGUUCGGGAGAGGUGAGUGGAACUCCGAGUGUAGAGGUGAAAUGCGUAGAGAUCCGGAAGAACACCAGUGGCGAAGGCGGCCCGCUGGGCAGUGGCUGACGCUGAGGCGCGACAGCGUGGGGAGCAAACAGG
rnacentral:rRNA from 1 species